rnacentral:rRNA from 1 species
UGCAGUCGAACGGCAGCACGGAGCUUGCUCUGGUGGCGAGUGGCGAACGGGUGAGUAAUAUAUCGGAACGUACCCUAGAGUGGGGGAUAACGUAGCGAAAGUUACGCUAAUACCGCAUACGAUCUAAGGAUGAAAGUGGGGGAUCGCAAGACCUCAUGCUCGUGGAGCGGCCGAUAUCUGAUUAGCUAGUUGGUAGGGUAAAAGCCUACCAAGGCAUCGAUCAGUAGCUGGUCUGAGAGGACGACCAGCCACACUGGAACUGAGACACGGUCCAGACUCCUACGGGAGGCAGCAGUGGGGAAUUUUGGACAAUGGGCGAAAGCCUGAUCCAGCAAUGCCGCGUGAGUGAAGAAGGCCUUCGGGUUGUAAAGCUCUUUCGUCAGGGAAGAAACGGUGAAAGCUAAUAUCUUUUGCUAAUGACGGUACCUGAAGAAUAAGCACCGGCUAACUACGUGCCAGCAGCCGCGGUAAUACGUAGGGUGCAAGCGUUAAUCGGAAUUACUGGGCGUAAAGCGUGCGCAGGCGGUUUUGUAAGUCUGAUGUGAAAUCCCCGGGCUCAACCUGGGAAUUGCAUUGGAGACUGCAAGGCUAGAAUCUGGCAGAGGGGGGUAGAAUUCCACGUGUAGCAGUGAAAUGCGUAGAUAUGUGGAGGAACACCGAUGGCGAAGGCAGCCCCCUGGGUCAAGAUUGACGCUCAUGCACGAAAGCGUGGGGAGCAAACAGGAUUAGAUACCCUGGUAGUCCACGCCCUAAACGAUGUCUACUAGUUGUCGGGUCUUAAUUGACUUGGUAACGCAGCUAACGCGUGAAGUAGACCGCCUGGGGAGUACGGUCGCAAGAUUAAAACUCAAAUGAAUUGACGG